GUGCUCGCAUCGGCAGCACAUUUACUAAAAAUUGGAACAGAGAAAAUUAGCAUAGUCCCUGCACAAGGAUGACACGCAAAUUCGUAAACUGUUCCAUAUUUAU